rnacentral:rRNA from 1 species
GACGAACGCUGGCGGCGUGCUUAACACAUGCAAGUCGAACGAGACGAUUGAAAGCUUGCUUUUAAAAGUCGAGUGGCAAACGGGUGAGUAACGAGUAGACAACCUGCCUUUGAGAUGGGGACAACAGUUCGAAAGGACUGCUAAUACCGAAUGUUGUAUAUUUUCCACAUGGAAGAUAUAUUAAAGAUGGCCUCUAUUUAUAAGCUAUCGCUCAAAGAUGUGUCUUCGUCUGCUUGGCUAGUUGGUGGGGUAACGGCCUACCAAGGCGACGGUCAGUAGCCGGUCGGAGAGGAUGAACGGCCACAGUGGGACUGAGACACGGCCCAGACUCCUACGGGAGGCAGCAGUGGGGAAUCUUCCACAAUGGACGAAAGUCUGAUGGAGCAACGCCGCGUGAGUGAAGAAGGGUUUCGGCUCGUAAAGCUCUGCUGUCGGGGACGAAUGUGCAGUAUUUGAAUAAAGUACUGCAAUGACGGUACCUGACGAGGAAGCCACGGCUAACUACGUGCCAGCAGCCGCCGUAA